UAGGGAAUUUUCGUCAAUGGCGCAAGCCUGAACGAGCGAUGCCGCGUGAGUGAAGAAGGCCUUCGGGUCGUAAAGCUCUGUUGCGGGGGAAAAAGGCAGCAUCAGGAAAUGGGUGCUGACUGAUGGUGCCCCGCCAGAAAGUCACGGCUAACUACGUGCC
rnacentral:rRNA from 1 species